rnacentral:rRNA from 1 species
UGGGGAAUAUUGGACAAUGGGCGAAAGCCUGAUCCAGCCAUGCCGCGUGUGUGAAGAAGGUCUUCGGAUUGUAAAGCACUUUAAGUUGGGAGGAAGGGCAUUAACCUAAUACGUUAGUGUUUUGACGUUACCGACAGAAUAAGCACCGGCUAACUCUGUGCCAGCAGCCGCGGUAAUACAGAGGGUGCAAGCGUUAAUCGGAAUUACUGGGCGUAAAGCGCGCUGAGGUGGUUUGUUAAGUUGGAUGUGAAAUCCCCGGUCUCAACCUGGGAACUGCAUUCAAAACUGACUGACUAGAGUAUGGUAGAGGGUGGUGGAAUUUCCUGUGUAGCGGUGAAAUGCGUAGAUAUAGGAAGGAACACCAGUGGCGAAGGCGACCACCUGGACUAAUACUGACACUGAGGUGCGAAAGCGUGGGGAGCAAACA